UCGCGAUCAGUGUAUGCUCUCACACCCUAGGUCCGCUGCCUCCAAUGCCAGGAUCUGCACAAAAAUAUGCAUAAGUGUAGCAUGAGUAUACCUCAAUUGAUACUUAGUAAGUAUCAAGACUAACCUCAGUGAAGUAGUGUCGAGAUUCAAGUAAAAUGAUACUCACUAAUCAAAGAACCUAUGCAAUAUAUUAUUAACUGGCAACAGAAUAUGUAACAGAAAACAAUAUCAAUACUAUCGUUAGAACAUGUGAUAACAACUCAACGUAGAAAAGUCUGUCUUUGACAACAGUUAUCAAGUAGAAACAAAGGUAUAUGACAAAAUGUCAAAUAAAACUAGCAAAUAAUUUAAAAUACAUGACGAAGUUUAAAGAAAACAUAUACGAUAAAAAAUAGCAUCCAUGUUUCGUCACAUGAACAUCAUCAAGAGAAUAAACUAUGGAGAUUUGACGGUUGAUUUGGACUUACUUUUGGAAUCUAAUCAUGUAUUUGGACUUGUGGGGUUAUGGGUAGUCGGGAUCUACCCUUUGACUUGGGUUUUGACAGUUCAGGCUUGGGUUGAUUUUUAUUGACUUUUUGGAAUUUGAAUAAAGAUUGAAGUUUAUUGUAUGAAAUUGAUUUGUAUGGCGUUAUUUAAGGUCAUUGAGUAGUUUUUGGAUAGAUUCUAGCCGGUUGGAGAUAAGUUUCCAAGGAGAAUGCAUUUUGGAGUAUUUAUUUGGUCUGUUUGAGAUAAUUAUCUUGCCUAGUCUUAAGGGAGAGAAUACCCCUUGGGAUGUGACCUUAUUUGGCUAAUUGAAAUGUGCGAAAAGCGACAUAUAUGCAAGGUGACGAGCAUAUAUGCGAGUGCUAUGUGUGAUUUUGACCAGAUUUGACUUUAGGCCUCUAGUUUGCUUUAUUCGAACUGUGUACUUCCUAUGAUAUUUUCUUUAUCGCUUGUAUGGUUACGUGAACUAUUUGAGUCAUGUUAGAGACCAUUUAUUAGCUUUGAUAUCCUAUUUGAGCAUAAAUCUUGCUGUUGUAUGGCAUACAUGCCUAAUAUGAGUUGUUGUUGUACACUUCGCACAUGCAUACACCUUAGCAUGUUAUUUUUCUUAGUCCAUGAGUAUGUGAAUUGAUAUUUGUUGUUAGUAUACAUAUAUUCUUGUAUAUGUUUUCUGUGAUAUGAACUAGUUUGAGAUCAUGUGAGUUGUCCGUUCAACAUGUGGACAAGGAUUCAUCUCCCCCAGGGUAGUUCUCUCAUAUUUCUCCUUGAUGACGUACACGCGGAUUGUGAAUACUAAUUAGUGUUUUGAUUUUGUAUAUCUUUUCUAUAUGCAAAAUCCUUGGAUGUAUAUAUAUUUUACUUUGUAUCUUCUCUAUAUACUAGACUCAUAAUGUAUACAUACUUUUGCAUAUCUUCUCUAUAUGCUGAUUUAGUUGAUGUAAUGACUCACGAUACACAUCUUCUCUAUAUGUCCUCUCCCUGCAACUUGAUUGCUAUUCUCGCAUAUCAUCUUUAUAUACUGAACUAUUAGAUUGAUUACCAUGCUUAGAUCUGGUAUUGUUGUUGUUACCGUUGUUAAGUCCUUAAACCUACAUGUGAAAAAAAAAGAAUCUUUAAAUGACUAAGCCAGUCUUUCUUUUCCAAUUCUUAUCGUUAAAUUAAGUCAUUUUUAUUGCGAAUUAUUUGCUUUACUAUGUGGACUUGUUGCAAUAUUUGCUAAAUGCCAACAUGCUUUACUUCACUAAGUAUUAUCAUUAAUAGAAUAAAAUGUAACUUAUUAUGUGCUAUCCUUAUUUUUGACCAGUUAGUCAAAAUUACUUGCUAUACUUGUUUAUGUGUUAAUUUUUGACCUCAUAUUAAUGUCGCCACCAAGAUUAACGGCAUGUGAUUAAUAAUUAUCACAACACCACGCCUCUAAGGUGGCGCAUAUUUGUUUCUAAUAUUUUUUUCUUUUGUGUGUUUGAGUUAUAAUUGCUAUAAAGUUCACCUGAAUCAACCUCGCCGUAGAGAAGAAGAAGAAUACCUCAUUUUGCUUUGAGUUCCUUUUAUGUGGUCAUAAAUUGCGAGUGUUCUACAAAUUGGUAUUCUCUUUGGAUUACUUCGAAAGGUCAGUACUCUUAUUUCAAUUAAAGGUUUCUCCAUCUGAUUGCUAUGUCUUCACUACCUGACCGAUUCUUUGUAUGAGCGCCCUGUAUGUCUUUACUCGAUAUAGUCGUGAACCAUGU
rnacentral:lncRNA from 1 species